ensembl:lncRNA
UGAAGACAAAACUAAAGGCAGAAAGACUUACAAACAAGCAGCAACUGAACGCAGCUGCAGUAAAGGCCUGGCAAAGCACCUCACGGAAGGAAACUCAGCAUUUGGUGAUGUCCUGAAGUCUGGGACACAUGGACUUCAUUGACUGCAAAGGAUUUGUAUCCAAGUAUUAAAAGUAAUCCUUAUAUUUAUAAUUAUAUUAGUUUACCCACUUACUUGAGCCUGUGAACAUGGAAGGACUCUGUAAAAAUGGCUGUAAUUCAAAAACAGUUAAUGCAAUAUUCUUGUUAAACUCCUUGAAUUAAAGCUGAAAGUCUAAACUUCAAUCACAUCUUGAUUGCUUCAUGGUGGUGGUGUACAGAAUUAGGAAAACCGUGUCACUGUCCAAAUACUAAAAGACCCGACUGUAUUUACCAGGACUUUUAAAAUAAACUCUAAAUAUCUGACACUUAAUUCUAAAUGCAGGUUUGAGUUAAAAGAUUAGCCAUAUAGAUAUAUACCAAGGAAACUGCAUCCUAGCUUUUAGCUUUUUAAUGCAAUUUAAUCUCAAUCACACAAACACAACUUUAGAGCCCUUAUGUUCUUCUUUAACAGUAAUAUUCCACACUUCAGCAAUUCUAUGAAGCUGUUUAUUUUUAAAUGGCAUUACAAUACUUAUUAGCUCCAAAUAGCCUCAUAGCUUCAGCACAAAACUGAAGAUGCAAGUUUUACACUACAAACAAGUAUUACCGGAUCACCAGCAUUUGGGGUAUGGAGAAAACUUAUGGGCUAAACUACCUAAUUAAACACGGAGCUUCAAUUAUGUAAAUCUAAAGUAUAUAAAACACUGAACUAAAACCAAAAGUCAAUCCUAUGUAGCUGCUGUAUGUUUCUGGAGAAUUUGUCAUUGAGGUAGAGUAAAAACUGAUUCCUUGUGUGGCAUAAAAAUUCUCCGUCUUAGAAAGUGCAUAUGGAGGUUUUUCCACAUGGAAUAAUCAGUUAUAAUGGCACGAAAAUUAAACAUAUUGUUCUUUGAAACCAGUAUUAUAGCUUGAUUUGAACUUGUAUUGCACAUUCAGGCAUGCAAAAAUUUGAUUAGAGGUUUAAAAAUCAUGAAAAGAAGUCAAACUGUUAGCGAUGUUGAAGAGCUGCUACUACAUUCAUUAUAAUAUAUUCACUCAAACACUUACUGUUUAAUAAUUGUACAUCAGCGUAAUUAUUGUGAUACGUGAUUGUCUCUCUUCAUGUUACCCGGGUCAGUCAUAUGAUCCUGCGGGAAACUUUGGUGGAAUUCAGUGGAACUGCGAGAAUAAUGUUCACUCCUGUUAUUACUCAUCAGUUCUGUAAUACAGGACACAUUCUGGUUGGGUUUCUAUAGCAUAUGCAGAUCACAUAUUUGCUUAAAGGGAGGCUGAGUUCAAAAACGAGUGGUCUGUAGAACGAGAGACAACACGGUUGCUUGUUCUGCACAUCUGACUGCCCUACACUUACCUAUUUCAGUGCUUCCUUGUGCUGAUCAUGGAAUAUCUUUGCAUGCUUUGCAAAUAACUCACUCGACUCAGCAGCAGACGUGCAGAUAAUGAUUUUAUUUUAUUUUUUUAAUUCUGUGAUAUUUAACACAUAUAUGGUUGAAUUUAGGGACAGGAUGAUCAGUUAUGGCAAUGAUCAGGGAACUGUUGAGUAAAUGUGGCCUGACUGUAAGCAGAAACAGUUUGGGGUUUACAGCCAAAAGCAUAUACAGUAAUAGCUGAAAUACAGUUAACGCUUGAGCUGUGUUUAAGUUCUGAACUCAAAGCUGUAAGUUCUGCCUCAUAUAACAUCUGACACACAGUCGUAUGAAGGCUGAGUUGUAGCCGUGUCCUGACAGUUAGAUUCAGAUGAGUUCAUUACCGUUAUUCCACAGCAGUGUUCAGGCCAGAGGAAAGUGCCAGCCUAUGUGUGGGCCAGGACUGAGUGAUCACUGCUAUCAGGGCAGCAUUCUGGCCAGCAAUUAUUUCCAGGAUAAAGAGAAUAUGUAUGUUUUUGUAUAUAGGGUGACGCCACAUACAGGCUGAUGAAACAGAUCCUAAAUUUAAUGCUUCUUACUUUUAGUUAACAUGCCACACAGUAAGAACAGGCACCAGGAAACAAUUACUAAUAUUUAAAAUACAUUAUAGUGACAAUAUCAUAAACCAGCAUGAACUGAAACUAGUUAGAUUUACUGCUUACCGCCUGUGGGUAUUUAAUACAUUUUUAUUGAAUAUAUUUCAUUUUAUGGGUUUAACACAUUAAUAACCAACUGGGACAAUAAAAAACACAUUUUUCUGAAAUAUUUUCAAGGUGGGGUAGCAUGGUGGGACAACAGAUAGCGCUGUUGCCUUACAGCUCCAGGGUCCUCUUCUCAAUCCCGAGCUCAGGGGCGGAUUUAGUGAUUAGGGGCCCCUAGGCGAAAUAUAGGAAUGGGUCCAACGUUUCAGUGUUUUAACAUAGAUAUUUAAAUUUUCAGCAUACAUUAUUUAGCAUUAAUAAUUAAAAAUACAUUUCAUUUGCAUUUUUAGAAGGUCCUUGGCUUCUGGGGGCCCUAGGCGGUUGCUUACUUUUACCUAGUGCUAUGUUUGCCCCUGCCCGAGGAUUGAGUUAUUGUCUGUUCGUGUUCUUCCCAUGUCUGUGUGAGUUUUCUCUGGGGUUCUCGGGUUUCCUCCUACCACCAUAUACAUGCAGGUACGUGUACUGGUGACUCUAAAAUGUCCCUAAUUGUGAGAAUGUGUGUGUUCAUGGUGUCCUAUGGUGGACUGGCAUCCCAAGCAGGAUGUCUUCCUGAUUCACACUCAGUGUUCCCGGGAUAGGCUCCAUAUCCACCACAACUCUGACCAGGAUAAAGUAGUUACUGAAGAUCAGUGAAUGAAUGAAUGAACAAUCAUCAUCAUAAACCCUACCUUGUGGUCAUGGAGAGACAACCAGGAAAGUUAUCCCCGGUCAGGUGGAUCACGGUGGAUCCAAAGCACACCCCAGUUACAAUGGGCAGAUUCAUGGGAAACCAGACUAACACAGAGCAGCAUUUCAGACUCAUUCACACCGAGGGGCAAUUUGGCACAAUCCUCCUACCUCCAUGUUUUUGGACAGUGGGAGGAAACUGGAGAACCCGGAGUGGCGUUCACGUGAGCACAUGGAGAACAUGUAAAAUGCCAAGUGGACAGUAACCCAGGACCCUAGAGUUGUGAGGCAGCAACACCACCCUGUAACUCCCUAUUUUGUCCCCUAUUUUGGUAAAUGGUUUUGGCCUGCUGCAUUUUUGUGGUAUGAGCUUCCACACCGACUGAAGCUUUUGUGGCUAAUUAUAGAGUUUUUUCCAUAGGUACGUGGUCUCUGGCUAAUACUUUCAUUCACACGUUUGCCAAGAUGACACAUAAGUCUGGUGCACAAAAAAAGAAAAGAAAAAAUAUCAAGGGAAGACGUUAACUCAAGGAAACGUAUGCCAAAGCAGGGCUCAACAAUGAAAGAUGCUCGGGACAGUAGAUGGGAUUGUCACUGGCCCGAUCUGGCCAGUGCUGCCUCGUCACUAAAGUUUAGAAUUUUCCUGUGACCGUUUGUCAAUAUGCGUGCAUAUGCGAUCUUAGAAUGGAGAAACAGCUUGUGUUUUUAAGCCUUUUAAACAUUAACUUCUCUGUGAUGUCAUGAACAUCAUAAUUGUUAUGCGUUUUAGUUUCGCUUAUCUUAUUGGAUGUUGUGAGCACUGUUGCUUUAAUAACCUCACCUGGUGAAAACUAGACGGAAAAGAGACGGCAACAUGGCGGCAGCUUCUAAUUAUGAGGCGAAAAGAAAACAUGUGUUUCUAAUGUCUUGGCAGCAGUUAUUUACACAGGUACAACACGACGAAGGUGAAUUAGGUGCUGUUUUGCACAGAUUGCUGUCAGUUUCCAAGAAAAGCAGACAAGUCGGGAGCCUUUUUCAUUGGAACAAGCAAUUAAAGCAAGCAAAACCUCAACGCUCAUGAUAAAAACCGACAGCACGUAGCGUGCAUGCUGGCUAAAAGGGUUGCUGAUAACCCUUCGUCUGGUCCACUGAACCUGAUGGUGAGACGUAUGAACAAAGAGAAUUAGAAGCGCAUUGAGAGACUCAACACAGCAUAUCAUGUCAUUCGAACAGAGUAUUGACUUGUUUAAAAUAAAUGUUUAUAUGUUUGAUAUGGAAUCUCAAUACCACACUGAUGUUGCAUGUCGGAGGUAAGGAAUAUUUAGUAUUAAUAUUUAUAUCUCUGUCAGUGUCAUUAAAACAACUUGGUUAAUUUUUAUAUGAUUUACAUUUACAGCAUUUGGCAGACGCCCUUAUCAAGAGCGACUUAACAUUUAUCUCAUUUAUACAACUGAGCAGUUGAGGGUUAAGGGCCUUGCCCAAGGCCCAACAGUGGUAGCUUGGCAGUGCUGAGGCUUUAACUCCUGACCUUCUGAUCAGUAACCCAGAGCCUUUAACCACUGAGCCACCACUGCCCCAUAACUUCAUCAGAAAUUUGAAGUUUGGGUGUAAUAAGAGAGCCUCAGACCAUUUACAUAAUAAAUGACUGGAGAAGCAGCCUUUCAGUGGACUGAAGGUAGUUAAAAGGUGGCACUCUCAGACAGAGAGGGCUCAGAGAGUAUCGUUCUAGAACAGAGACAAUAUCUCUGAUCUGAUCUUCUGAUCAAGACCACAGAUAAUCCAUCCAUCUUCUACUGCUUACUCCUUUUCAGGUUCACAGGGAACCUGGAGCCUAUCCCAGGGAGCACCACAGACAAUCCAUCCCAAUAAACUUUUCAACUGCUGUAUAACAUAUGUUGCAUCUUCCUUACAACAUUCCAUUAAUAGGAACAGUUAACUGGUGAUAUAUCUGGGACCAUCGACCCUGACAGACUGUUGUGCAGAAAUCGUUACCUCAUUGUCUUUUAAAGAAACUCAUGUUGAAUAAAAAGUGGAUGUAUAUAAUUAUAUUUGGCUUUUGACACAUUGUUUAAAAUAUGCGGCUAAGAAAGAACUAUUUUUCAUUUUUUGGGGGACUGGUGAAAAUUUUGACAGGGCAAGUAAAAAUCUGAAACACUGGCCCAACCAGGCAAGAAGAAAAAACUCCUUAGCAUUGAGCCAUGCCGAAGUUCUUAAAGCAAUACUGAAUACUGCAUUAGAAUGAGUUAUAUCCCAGGGGGCCUUUUUUCCACCCCCAAAGGUUUGCCCCAAGACUGCGCAAUAUGCACAGCAGGCCUGCAUAAACCAUACUUACUGCAACAGAUAUCAUAUAGUGAUAUGAAAAGAUCUUAUCCGCACAUGUCCAGCAGUGAGGUUAAAGCAGUGCAAAACAACCAUGUGGCAGAUGAGUUCAGGACCUGCAUUGAGAACUCAGGAUCAUUGAGUGAUGACUCUGACUUCUGAAGAGAUCGAUACAGACAAAAAUGACCUACUAUUCAAUUCAAUUCAAUUCAAUUUUAUUUGUAUAGCACUUUUUGCAAUGGACAUUGUCUCAGAGCAGCUUUACAGAAACAUAUCAACACAGGAUACAGAUUAAGUGUGUGGACUUAUCCCUAUUGAGCAAGCCGGUGGCAAGGAAAAACUCCCUAAGAUGAUACGAGUAAGAAACCUUGAGAGGAACCAGACUAAGAAGGGAACCCGUCCUCAUCUGGGUAACAACAGAUAGUGUGAAAGUAAGUCUUACAUACUAUACCAAUGAAAGAAAAAUGCUGAGAAGGGAACUAUGGGUUCAUGUGGAGAGCACACAGCUGUGCUGUAGUACACACAUCUAACAUAACAGCAGCACAUCUGCUGAUACCUGCAACAUUCCUGAGACACACUGAACUUCACGUGGCACAUCAUGCAGUGAUCAGGUCAAAAACAUCCUGACUGGAACAAUAGACUCAGCUCGUACUCCAGCUCCAGCUCAAGUGGAUGCGCAGUGCUAUUAGCUGCUAGCUGAGCACCCAGCAGCUUCGUCAGCAGCUUUAGGAUCUGCGUUUAACGUGUUUCAUCAUUCUCUCCAUCACGCACAUGAACUCAUUUCCACGCAACACGCCGUUCAUUUGGACAGUGAGAGGUUUCACACAACGUGCAGAGGACGCAUUUAAAACUCAGAAAAGCAUCUUUUACUCACGUUGCACGAAACAGCAGCUCCGCUACAACCUGCGCACUACUGUACUAUAUAGUACGCAGUUAUGCUACGCCUCCUUGGUAACUAUGGUAACCUUAUAGUAAUCUAUACUUCUAUACUGUGUAGUAGGUAGGCGCGCGGCAUGGGACGUAACCAGCAAACGUCACUCAUUCUUUAAGACCAGCACAUGUGUGUGUAUGAGUGCGCGCGCAUUACGCUACAUCUGAACUUCAAACCAUAAACACGUAUUGACGGAAACAUGAAUAAGUUUUAAUAGUAAGAUAUUUGUUUUUGGUUUUUUUCAGUUUGCUUGCCUGGUUCGAGUCGGUGUCGUUGCGUUUUCUCGGUGUUUGGCUCGCCGCUCAAUCUUUACACAUCCUCCGGCGUCACUGUGUGUGUGUGCUGCAGCCAAGGUAACCGAAAUCUCGCGAUACUCACUCAGGUGGUG